UAUGUCAGCAUGAAUGUAUCGUGCUCUGGGUGUUCACAACCAAGUCAUUACUGCCUUUCUAUGUCAGCAUGGAUGUAUCGUGCUCUGGGUGUUCACAACCAAGUCAUUACUGCCUUUCUAUGUCAGCAUGAAUGUAUCGUGCUCUGGGUGUUCACAACCAAGUCAUUACUGCCUUUCUAUGUCAGCAUGGAUGUAUCGUGCUCUGGGUGUUCACAACCAAGUCAUUACUGCCUUUCUAUGUCAGCAUGAAUGUAUCGUGCUCUGGGUGUUCACAACCAAGUCAUUACUGCCUUUCUAUGUCAGCAUGGAUGUAUCGUGCU